GAGUUAAUUCCCUCGUAACCAAGGCAAUGGAGGAAGCUAUUCACGCAACAUAAAUGGGUGAAGUGGGAAUCUCGGGGAAUAUGGCAAGAACGACUUCCAUUAUUCUCCGAUGAUGGGAUUAAGGGUGUCUAGGUGAAGAGUUUUUUAAAGUAUUAUUAUAAUAAAAUAAAAUAAACAGAUGGAGAUAGAAACAUCAAUAUUUUCAUUUUGAUGAGCUCAAAAUAGUGUUUGUAUUAUACGUACUCGGUCAGUGUCUAUUUCCAAAUGAUAGCUUAGUGACGUUUCAUGGUUUUCUCGAACCCUUAGAGGAUUGAAAAUGAGCACCAACACUAAACCGGGCGUCUGAAAUUCUAUAUGAACUGAACAUAAUCCUCGGUGCAUACUCGGACUCUAAAUCAAGCCUAAAUGGUUUUUAGAGAGCUUCAGAGAUAAAAACCACAAUUCAUUCAUAUCCUUUAUUUAUAUUUAUUUUCAUUUUUGAAAUGAUAAUGUAACGCCAAUGUUAUUAUCUUUAGUACAAGUGGUAUACUUACUUUCGUGUUGGUGAA